rnacentral:misc_RNA from 1 species
GAUGAAGAACGUAGCGAAAUGCGAUAAGUAGUGUGAAUUGCAGAAUUCAGUGAAUCAUCGAAUCUUUGAACGCACAUUGCGCCUUCUAGUAUUCUGGGAGGCAUGCCUGUUUGAGCGUCAUUAAACCUCUCUCAAGUAUGAUUACUUGGAUGUGAAGGAAGAGUACCUUAAACUUAAGGAGUGUUCUCCUUUGAAAUUGAUUAGCAGAUGGUAAUGUUAUUAAAUCCCUGAUGUUGUAAGAAAUAUCAGUGGUUUUGUAGACUAUUAUCUAGCUUUAAAUUAUAAUUUUUAUUAUGGUUGACCUCAAAUCAGGUAAGGAUACCCGCUGAACUUAAGCAUAUCAAUAAGCGGAGGA